rnacentral:rRNA from 1 species
GUGGGGAAUAUUGGACAAUGGGGGGAACCCUGAUCCAGCCAUGCCGCGUGUGUGAAGAAGGCCUUUUGGUUGUAAAGCACUUUAAGCGAGGAGGAGGCUACCGAGAUUAAUACUCUUGGAUAGUGGACGUUACUCGCAGAAUAAGCACCGGCUAACUCUGUGCCAGCAGCCGCGGUAAUACAGAGGGUGCGAGCGUUAAUCGGAUUUACUGGGCGUAAAGCGUGCGUAGGCGGCUUUUUAAGUCGGAUGUGAAAUCCCCGAGCUUAACUUGGGAAUUGCAUUCGAUACUGGGAAGCUAGAGUAUGGGAGAGGAUGGUAGAAUUCCAGGUGUAGCGGUGAAAUGCGUAGAGAUCUGGAGGAAUACCGAUGGCGAAGGCAGCCAUCUGGCCUAAUACUGACGCUGAGGCACGAAAGCAUGGGGAGCAAACAGGAUUAGAUACCCCGGUAGUCC